rnacentral:rRNA from 1 species
GACGAACGCUGGCGGCGUGCUUAACACAUGCAAGUCGAACGGAAAGGCCCUGCUUUUGUGGGGUGCUCGAGUGGCGAACGGGUGAGUAACACGUGAGUAACCUGCCCUUGACUUUGGGAUAACUUCAGGAAACUGGGGCUAAUACCGGAUAGGAGCUCCUGCUGCAUGGUGGGGGUUGGAAAGUUUCGGCGGUUGGGGAUGGACUCGCGGCUUAUCAGCUUGGUGGUGGGGUAGUGGCUUACCAAGGUUUUGACGGGUAGCCGGCCUGAGAGGGUGACCGGCCACAUUGGGACUGAGAUACGGCCCAGACUCCUACGGGAGGCAGCAGUGGGGAAUAUUGCACAAUGGGCGGAAGCCUGAUGCAGCAACGCCGCGUGCGGGAUGACGGCCUUCGGGUUGUAAACCGCUUUCGCCUGUGACGAAGCGUGAGUGACGGUAAUGGGUAAAGAAGCACCGGCUAACUACGUG